rnacentral:rRNA from 1 species
CCUACGGGAGGCAGCAGUGAGGAAUAUUGGUCAAUGGGCGCUAGCCUGAACCAGCCAAGUCGCGUGAAGGAUGACUGCCCUAUGGGUUGUAAACUUCUUUUAUAUGGGAAUAAAGUGCACUCUGUAUACUGCUUUGCAUGUACCUUAUGAAUAAGCAUCGGCUAACUCCGUGCCAGCAGCCGCGGUAAUACGGAGGAUCCGAGCGUUAUCCGGAUUUCUUGGGUUUAAAGGGAGCGUAGGCGGGUUGUUAAGUCAGUUGUGAAAGUUCAGGGCUCAACCGUAAUAUUGCAGUUGAUACUGGCGACCUUGAGUACAGGAGAGGUAGGCGGAAUGCGUGGUGUAGCGGUGAAAUGCUUAGAUAUCACGAAGAACUCCGAUUGCGAAGGCAGCCUGCUGGACUGUAACUGACGCUGAGGCUCGAAAGUGUGGGUAUCAAACAGGAUUAGAUACCCGAGUAGUC